CGGGACGGGUGAGUAAUGUCUGGGAAACUGCCUGAUGAGGGGGGAUAACUACUGGAAACGGUAGCUAAUACCGCAUAACGUCGCAAGACCAAAGAGGGGGACCUUCGGGCCUCUUGCCAUCGGAUGUGCCCAGAUGGGAUUAGCUAGUAGGUGGGGUAACGGCUCACCCAGGCGACGAUCCCUAGCUGGUCUGAGAGGAUGACCAGCCACACUGGAACUGAGACACGGUCCAG
rnacentral:rRNA from 1 species